rnacentral:rRNA from 1 species
UACGGGGGGGGCAAGCGUUGUUCGGAAUUACUGGGCGUAAAGGGCGCGUAGGCGGCCUGCUAAGUCGGACGUGAAAUCCCUCGGCUCAACCGAGGAACUGCGUCCGAUACUGGUGGGCUUGAAUCCGGGAGAGGGAUGUGGAAUUCCAGGUGUAGCGGUGGAAUGCGUAGAGAUCCCCAAGAACACCAGUUGCGAAGGCGGCUGACUGGACACAUAUUGACGCUGAGGCUCGAAAGCAUGGGGAGCAAACAGG